CAAAGGGUUCAAAUAGUUUACCUCUGUUGAGAUCCGUCUUGGAUAAAUUAAGUACUAAUCAACAAAAUAUUCUGAAGUUCAUCGCUUGUAAUGAAAUAUUCUUGAUGCCCGCUACAGUUUUUAUGCUCUUUAGGCCAGUUUUAUUGAGAAAAUAGAGAAGAUGCUUCCAACUUUCCCAGGCGACCCCAGUGGCACCAUGUGUUAAGGUCAGAGUCCAUGAAGAGAGCUCAGAAGAGGCUGUUGGUGAAGGUGUAGCCCAGUUGCAUCAAGAAGUUCUAGCACUUUGGAGAUGACAGUACCAUGGGACAAGUACCAAGGACAGCGAUAGCUGUGCCGUGGAGCAGGCCUGAGCCCACAGGACAGACCAGCAGUGUUUGCUAUGGAUGUCAGAGCCAGAGAGUAAGGCUCUCAAGCCCUUGGAACCCAGAAGCCCAUGCUGAGCCUUCAUGUUUAAAGACUGACCUUCUUAAAGUUAGUUUUUAUAUUGUGAUACUAAUGUCAACAUGACAACUUGGGAAUAAAUGAGAAAAGAAAAAUUAUAA
rnacentral:lncRNA from 1 species